rnacentral:lncRNA from 1 species
GGAUCAAACCCAGGUCUCCUGCUUGGCAGGUGGAUUCUUUACCACUAAGCUGCCUGGGAAGCCCACCAUCAUUAUUAGGGAUACACAUUUUGUACCUAAAUGUAAUCAGUGAAUACUGGUUUUAAUAGUCCUUUAGUUAAAAUUAAGUGCAUUUAAAAUACCUGCAGUUUAUAUUAAGGGUAUUAAAAAAUAGCAAUAAUAAAUGCAGGUGUGUCUGUAGACCAGCAUAAGGAAGAGAAUUUUACUAUGCUCCUAACUCACCUCUAUGGGCUGCUCCUUCAUCCUAGCUUUGCCCCCCAUCACUACCCUGAAUCUCUGUUUACACUCACUUGGCCUUGCAGGUCUUGUCACAUGCAUGUGGAGGUAUAAACACUAUAUCAUUGGUUUUGCGUGCAUCUAAACCUUAUGUAACUGGAAUGACACUGCAGCUAUUGUGCAACUUGCUUUUUUAUUUAAUGUUAUAUUCCUGAGAUCCUUCUGUGUUGUCAUAGCAGCUAUGGUUCAUUCAUUUUAACAGCACAGCUGAUAUAGCUAUAUUCCACAGUAAGACUAUGCCACAGUUUAUACUGUAAUUUCUGCACAUAAAAUUAUAUUGUAAAUAUCUUGUCACAAUGCUACGUACCCUGAAAAUAAUUAUUCAUUAUAGUAGAGCAUUACGCUGAGAGAAGAACUAUUUAAUUUUAUAGUUACCCAACUGUUGGACAUUAAUUGUGUGAAUGUCUGUGUGUGUUUGUGUGUGUGUGUGUGCCAGGGCCUACGCACACACAGAAACACAGCACACCACUGAAAACCAAAGGAAACUGAACAAAUUUGCCAUUUUCAGUGAUAAGUGGUGGAAAAGGAAAAAACUAAUGACAUGCCUUUUCAUUUGAACUGUUUAUUUACUGCAAGAUCUUCUUCCUAUCAGUGGAAAAUUAAACUAACAAUUCUAAGUUAAUGACUUGAGAGUAAACAGCUCCUCUUCUUUUUAGAAAAUGAGUUGGGCUUAUCAAAAUUUGUGUUUAAGUGAAUUUCUCCUGUCCCUUUAAAUCAAAUAAAGACAUGAUGUCAGUGAAUGCCUAGGCUCCAUAAGAAGCUUCCUAAAACUAUGAUUUUUCUCCGUACAGUUGCAUGAAAGUGAACUUGCUCAGUCGUGUCCAACUCUUUGCGACCCCAUGGACUAUAGCCUACCA